UAAUGAUGAGCCACCGAAAUGAAAAGUCCAAAACUUUAAAUCAAGGAGACAGGUCUUUAAAUGUAUUAAACAUAAAUUAAAAUACAAUACCAUUAUUUGUCUCUUUUUUUGUUUAAAAGGAAGGCAAACUAUCAGAACCAAGGAAAAACUCUUCCUUUGAAAAACAAAAGUUGGUCAACGCGAGAACAAAUAAUACCACGAGUAAAAUGCAAAGAAACAAGAAAACCAAACAUAAACCACAAAGAAGGACGAGGAUGAAGCAGGAAUCCAAGAGAAAGGAAAACCAAGCCGAACCUACGCUUACCUCUUCACGAAGAGAUCACCAGCGGAUGUUGGAUCGUUCUUCUUCAAAUGCUAUCCCUCGUCAAUUCCUUCUUCACGUACCCGCUCGCGUACUCCGCUUUCGGUAGGGACUUUGUUCCAAAAGGCGUCAAGAUGAAGCUUUAACACCGUGUCCUCAAAGAAAUCGCGGAUUCUAGUGGAGGCUCUCGUACGGAGGAUGCUGGAGGUUUUAUCCUCAUUCAAACUAGUGGUCCCUCUCGGUCCUCUCUGUCUCCAAGGACAUUUUACCGUCGCUUUGCAAGCUCUUAGCAAUGGAAGUAUCCUGUCAACAUGCAGCUCUUGUUUAACCGUGCGCUUGUUCUUGUGGAGGAUGGUGGGUUUGGGUUAGUCUUGGCAUGACUUGCUAGCACCAACAAUUGACAGUUUGAGCUCACAAACAGGAACACCUGAGAAUUGCUGCGAUUAAAUUUGAUGCCUCUUCCUUGGAAACAAAAUGUUGUUGAUAAAGCUGCAGCUUGGCAAAGACUAUAUCUCCAACUAUGAACUCCGCCAAACUUCGUUUAUCAUCAACACACUUCUUCAUAACUUGUUGAGCACGAUGGAGAUUGUACAGAGGGUCUUGCUUAUGGUUUUCACAUGGCUUUGGUGCAAUUUGUUCGGAGGUAAGAAUUGCUGCAGAAACGGUGCCGGUUGCAAUGCUCACUUGCAAAUUGGUUUGGGGAAUCUCACGGAAUACCUAAAUGUAUGUAUCUCAUUCACAAGCAUCUAUAAUGUUGUUUGAAACAUUUUCGUGCAUGGAGACGUUCUUUUUAAGAGAAGUACACAGGGCAUCACAUAGACGAGCAAAACUUUGGUGAGUACUCGUUGCAUGGUUUAAUGUCUAUUGUUAAUGGGUUAGUGUGCAUUUCAUUUGGCUUGUUUGGAAAACAAAACCUACAGGGUUGAGGUAUGCAACAUGGCUUGAUGGUGGGUCGGUUUGUGGAUAGUCACGACAUCGAACAAAAAUGGUUAACUUCCUGGUCUCUAACAAUCCUUCAUGUGCAUUGCAGAUUCGAUGAGUUUAUUCGGAAAUGCUACAUUUGACAUUGUGUUGAAUUGUUAGAUCAUGGUAUAUUCUAUUGAGUUUCCAUAUGCAUGAUAGAUUCACAUCUUUGGUUGGUCCUUUACAGAUCACGCACACAUGGAAAGAAUUAGCAUGAGGGCUCUCACUUGCACCUGUUGGAGAAUUAAACUGCUGCUUUUGAAACAGGGACCAAUGACGACUGUGCGUCGGUGUUUGAAUGGGUUUCAUCUUUUUCUGGUUAUUCUUUUGUAAAAUGAUCAAGAGUAUUUGGAACUCUCUGGAUGAUAUGCUCUACUAUAGACCUUGCAAUAAUUUUCACUCUAUCUUCAUUCUAUUCCUAUUCCUCGGCUUCAUCAUCAUCCUUUUCUUCAAUAGCAGUUCCUUCUUUUGAUUCCUCAGGUAAGUGGUUUGAGUAAUACUCACCCUAUAUUCUAUUGAUUAGCUUUGUUGUUGUAGCUUGCGUAGCUUUCUUUUUGGAUACAACAGGAGCCAUUGCUGAUAUGUGCUUAAAGGAAAACGGAUUUGCUUUGCAUUCUGAAUCCAGGCAUUGCCGAGAUUGCCGUAACAUCAGGCAUAACACCAGUAUAAGCAAUUGACAACUGAACAAACCAUUUAAGAGACGAAUCAACGUUACAAACAUUGAGACGAAGAUUGUCAUUAAACACAGGGUUCCUUCCACCUCCAUUGAUAGUCUUCGUAGAAACAACAUUCUCAGGAUUACUCGUCAAGUAAAUUUAGCAUAAACAUCUUGCUUAUGGUAUAUGAAAAUGUUCUAAAUACCCCUAGGUUGACGUAUGUAAAAAAUCAAAUACUCUAACACAUUCAUCGGCAUUUAACAUGAUAGUUUGUCAAUGGAAAGCUGCAGGCUUGGUUUCUUGGUGUGCCGGCUAAUGAAUAGACUUGGAGGUGUAUCAUGGCAUGGUGGUAUGGUUGCAAGUGUGCAGACUUUCUUCUGCCAAUCUCAGGAAAGAGAUAGUCGGCUUAAGGUUUACCCAAGUUUCCAUUGCGAGAGACCCUUGUCUUGUAAGUAGUCUCAACUUCUCGGAGUGUAGCGAUGCAUUUACGAAUGUUGGGUGGAGCUAAGAAAGUGGAUGAAGAAGAAGAGAUUGAAAGCGUGAGGUUUUGGGUUAUAGACACUUUGGAUGGGAAAAGAGGAGAGUGGGAGCGUGAAUGUAGUGUGUUUGUGAAUAGCACCAUUAGACAAUUCGCUGAGCAAAUUAGUCUUCUUUUUUUUUAUUUACUUCAGCUUCUCUCUGCAUUCCCCUCUUUUGAUAAGCUGACAAGGCUAACAUAUAUGUAUCUUUAAUGCAUAUUUUCAUAUUAGCCGAUCCACACAUGAUAAAGUAAGUUUUUUUUUGUAAAUGAUUCCUAUAUUCUUCAUUACUGCAACAAUUAUGUGGGCUACUCA